rnacentral:rRNA from 1 species
GACGAACGCUGGCGGCGUGCUUAACACAUGCAAGUCGAACGGAAAGGCCCUGCUUUUGUGGGGUGCUCGAGUGGCGAACGGGUGAGUAACACGUGAGUAACCUGCCCUUGACUUUGGGAUAACUUCACGAAACUGGGGCUAAUACCGGAUAGGAGCUCCUGCUGCAUGGUGGGGGUUGGAAAGUUUCGGCGGUUGGGGAUGGACUCGCGGCUUAUCAGCUUGUUGGUGGGGUAGUGGCUUACCAAGGCUUUGACGGGUAGCCGGCCUGAGAGGGUGACCGGCCACAUUGGGACUGAGAUACGGCCCAGACUCCUACGGGAGGCAGCAGUGGGGAAUAUUGCACAAUGGGCGGAAGCCUGAUGCAACAACGCCGCGUGCGGGAUGACGGCCUUCGGGUUGUAAACCGCUUUCGCCUGUGACGAAGCGUGAGUGACGGUAAUGGGUAAAGAAGCACCGGCUAACUACGUG